rnacentral:rRNA from 1 species
UACAGAGGUCUCAACCGUUGUUCGGAUUCAUUGGGCGUAAAGGGUGCGUAGGCGGCGCGGCAAGUCAGGUGUGAAAUCUCGGGGCUCAACUCCGAAACUGCACUUGAUACUGCCUUGCUCGAGUACUGGAGAGGAGACUGGAAUUUACGGUGUAGCAGUGAAAUGCGUAGAUAUCGUAAGGAAGACCAGUGGCGAAGGCGAGUCUCUGGACAGUUACUGACGCUGAGGCACGAAGGCCAGGGGAGCAAACGGG